CCGCCCUUAGCUCAGUUGGAUAGAGCAACGGCCUUCUAAGCCGUAGGCCGCAGGUUCGAAUCCUGCAGGGCGGGCCA
rnacentral:tRNA from 24 species